AGUGAACGCUGGCGGUAGGCCUAACACAUGCAAGUCGAACGGCAGCACAGUAAGAGCUUGCUCUUACGGGUGGCGAGUGGCGGACGGGUGAGGAAUACAUCGGAAUCUACUUUUUCGUGGGGGAUAACGUAGGGAAACUUACGCUAAUACCGCAUACGACCUACGGGUGGAAGCAGGGGAUCUUCGGACCUUGCGCGAUUGAAUGAGCCGAUGUCGGAUUAGCUAGUUGGCGGGGUAAAGGCCCACCAAGGCGACGAUCCGUAGCUGGUCUGAGAGGAUGAUCAGCCACACUGGAACUGAGACACGGUCCAGACUCCUACGGGAGGCAGCAGUGGGGAAUAUUGGUCAAUGGGCGCAAGCCUGAUCCAGCCAUACCGCGUGGGUGAAGAAGGCCUUCGGGUUGUAAAGCCCUUUUGUUGGGAAAGAAAAGCAGCAGGUUAAUACCCCGCUGUUCUGACGGUACCCAAAGAAUAAGCACCGGCUAACUUCGUG
rnacentral:rRNA from 1 species